rnacentral:misc_RNA from 1 species
AGAGAGAGAGAGAGAGAGAGAUCAACACUAGUUGUCAAAAAACAUGAUGGCGAUAACAUUGAAAAAGGCAGAGCACAAGCAUCCAUAUUGGGCUCAAACGAAGCAAAUAAUCAACAAAGUACUUUCGGCUCUUGAUUUUACUUAUUUUGUUUAUUAUCUGAAAUAAGAAAUUAAGGCAAUACAAAAAAUGCCAAAAUUACCAAGUAGAAAUCGGAAUCGAAGUUAUACAAGAAAGAAGAAGUUAAUCUCCUAAUUGUGAUUUUACUCAUACGGAAAUAAGUAAAUUGCAUAUUGGAAUCAUAUCAAAUCUUAAGCAAAAUGAACAGGAAGAGAAAGAACUCAUAGAUUACAUUUUCAGAAAGGUAUCGAAAGAUAGAUUGUAACUCAUCCAAGCAUCCAAUAUCAUAACACAGUAAAACCAGAGAGAGAAAAAGAAAACAAAUCACAUAUAUGCUCAAGAAAAUUGAUGGAGUUGCUCAAACUCAUUGAAAGAUGUAAUUGCAGAAUAUAAAUCCAGCUUCAAUCAGUCCAAGCACCUCACUUCAAUUCAACUAUACUCACUCAAACUCCCUCACUCCUUCUCUGGGAUCUCCCGAGCUCGAAAACUCCAGCUAUCCUUAAUAUAAAAGAAGAACCUUAAAAUUGUCGAAAGGAAAUCAUUAGAACAGAAGAAAAAAUAUCAAAUUUUCUUCUCUUGUACCACUUUACAAGGACAGACCCGCAAACCAGGAAAAAAAAAUAAUAUCCCCAUAAAUACAAAUAAAUAUAAAAGCACUUACAGAGGAAAGGAACAAAACUUUAAUAAUAUACAGUAGUACUAAAUAAAAGAGCAGGAAACCAACUUUUUUUCUUACCAGAAGCAAUGGAUCCAAGAACCAAAAUCCACUCUCUCAUCACAAUCUGAUUCCCAAGAAUGCAAACACUUAAUUAUCCUCCAAUUUUGAGCUUAUCUUCAAGAAAAAGAGCAACAAACCAGAAAACACACAAGGGGAAGAGAGCACUAAAAAAACAAAACGCACUAAUGCUAAUUAAUUAAAUACCCGGUUCCACUAAGCACAAUGCUCCUCUCUAACCUCCCUCUAACAAAAAAAGCGACUGUUUUAGACAGUGCUGUGGAUUUCUUUCUAGAGAGAGAGAGAAAAAAAAUAAACAUAAACAAAGUUAGUGGGGGAGCUUAAUGCCGAGAGAGAGUGAAAUAUGGAAUUGUGGGUGUAAAUCACGUUUGCUGUUGUUGAAUUUCAGCAGAGGCAGCCCCUUCUCAUCCCACCCCCCAAAUCCAGGGUAACGCGUAGGACCCACCUAUAGCUUUCUCCUCUCUUUUUUUUCUUCCUCCUGCUAAUCACUACAAUUUUCUUGGCUCAAUAUUAUAAUAAUAAUUCUGAGAUAAGGAAUUGUUUUAAUAUAGAGAAAAAAUGUAUUUAAAAAAAAUAUAAUAGAGAGAGAAAAUGAAGAAGAAGAAAAAAAAAAUAUUUAUUUAAUGUUUGUAUUGUUUUGUUUUGUCAAUGAAGCUUAUGUUUUCUCUCCAUCUUUAAUAUCUAUUUUGUUGUGGUAGUGAG